rnacentral:lncRNA from 1 species
AAGAGUAAAGUACUUCCGCUUCCUUAGGUGGAGCUGGAAAGGUGGAGGCGGAAGUGACUGAUCAAUUCAGGGGCGUGGGGUUCGUUUAGGUUUUGCCCUGUGUAUGACCUCGUUUGGAGCCAUGAAACCAGGUCUGUGAAAUUUAGUGUCUAUUUUCUACCAUAACACAUGUUAAUUUGGACUAACCACAUUUCGAGUGCUCAGUAGCCACAUGUGGCUAGCGACUACUAUCUUGAGCAAUGCAACGAUAAGUCUGCACUUACGUUCAAAAAGACUUAAAGCAGGGAUCGACAACCCCCAGGCCACAGACUGGUAUGGAUCCAUGGCCUGUUAAGAACUGUGCCACACAGCAGGAGGUCAUAAGAACAGACAGUAUUUUUUUGGCGCAGCAAGAACUUCUUAGGCCAUAAAGCAUGACAGACCUCUUUUCCUUAUGCGCUGAAUUGAAGAAGUGCUGACUCUUUUGCUGAUGGUGGCUUUUCUACAAUAUAAAGAUGGAAAUGGGAAGAAGAUGUUCAUUGCAAAUUAAGGAAGCUCUUCCACGAGUUCACGAAUGGAAAUAACAUCAAGAGUUUUUCAUCUUCUUAGUGUGCAAGAUGUCUGAGGAAUAGUCUUAGUGGAUUAUCCCAAACUUGACACAUUUUUUGCAAAAUGCUAUACAAAAAGAAGAUACAUGCGAUUAUGACAAGAUUCUCCACUUGGUGUGACCAGUCUCAUACAACCCAAGGCUGUGUGUCCAAAGGCAACUGUACUGAUCUUGACAAUAAUCAAAAGGUAGCCAGGUGCAUCGGGGAAAGCACUGACAUUGGAGUCAGACAGACUGAAGUUCAUAUCUGAUUCUGCUAUAUGACAACGUGUGGGCUAUGUGGCUAACUUCUCAGAGCUUCAGUUUUCUCAAGGGCAAAAUGAAAAUAAUAGAAAUAAUAGAAUCCACCUCACAGGGCUGUGGUGAGAAUUGGAGAUGAAGCACAUACAGCAUAUUACAUCAACUAAACACAUGCUAAAAAUUAAAGGGGAUGAAAGAUACAUUGGUCCCUGCAGUGGGAAGUUUCCUUGACAAUGCAAUUAUUGAUUCCAGAAGGCUGAACAAAUGUUGACAGAGGAACACACUGUUUGCUUAUGUCUAAUCUUCCCAUCUGACUUAUAUAAAUGUCACAAAUGAAUCUCAGACAUGUGCCCAAUAUCAAAUAUCCAUACGAUGGCCCUGGAAAGAGGCAAUCUACAUUUAUGGCUGAUGAGAAGAUGGAUUUUUAGCUUGAAAGAAACUUAUUACUGGGGAGAGGAAGUAUAAAUGAAUGGAGAGAGCUAUGAAGAGGUUGAGAGAAUACAGCCAAGGCACAUGACAGAAUUGCUCUGUUGAAGUUUUGCAAGGUCAAAUGACUCACUUUGUCUAAUGGAACGGGAACGAACAAUUUUUUUGUGUCACGUUUGAACAGAUACCUUUGAGAAGUUUAUGAUUCUCCAAGUUCUCUUUCUCCUACUGUGGCACCUACUGACAAGAUAAAUGUGUAGAGGUUCCUGAGUCUAGGGGCACUGGAACCAGCUGACUGAUCUAUGGAAGUUCCCUUGGUCUCCAUUUGUUUAGAAAAGGGAUGAAGAAACUGAGGCCCACAGAAGGUGGGUGAUACCUGCAAAAUCACAAGCUUUCAUGGUGAAAGAAGAGGGCAAAACUCAACCCGUCUCUUUAGACUUGGGAAGAAUAUGAAAGGACCAGGAGGGACACCUUUCCUAAUAACCUAGCUGAUGGUUCACUUAUUGUAAGCACAUUCUCAAACAAGGUGACAAUUAGGUUCAAAUAUCGUCUUUGAAACACAAAGUAGAUCUUACCCUUUUUAUCCUCUUAUUGCUAGUUUAGCUUCUACUGUUAGAAAGUUGAUUCUUAAUGUAAUAUUUGUCUAAGGGUCUGUUAUAGGAGUCCUAAACAGAUACAUCAGCCAUUUUAUGCUCCUAAAUGCAAGCCAGGAAAGAGCUAGAGAUAAAAGCAAAGAUGUUAAUUUAUGUAAAGUACUUAGCAUGGUUCCUGGCAAGAAUAACAAGUCAAUAAAUGAUAUUAAUAAUAAUACUAAUACUGUAAAUAAUACCUAACAAGGCUAUUUUUCUUAUUAUUUUUAAAAUUCAUACAGUCUCUAAAAUCUUCAGUUACUUGUUCCUCUCACAGUGUUCCAUACUACACCCUGGAGACACUGAUCAAGCAGAGAACUGUGUUUACUUGAUUGUCUGAAACAGCAGGCCGAUAUAGCAGUUGCAAGCAUCUUGAGCAAUUCUAUUCCAUAUAGAGACAUAAGAAACCGAGAGAAAGAGACACAAUACAU